UAUUACACAGUAUCGUGUGGGUGAGACCCUGCGUUCAGGUUCGAGCCGAGCGAAGCGAGACAACAACGCGCAGCGUUGACCCGAAGGGCGAGUCCAGAGGACGAGUCAUCCCGCAUGACCCACCA
rnacentral:sRNA from 1 species